rnacentral:rRNA from 1 species
AGUGAACGCUGGCGGUAGGCCUAACACAUGCAAGUCGAACGGCAGCACAGUAAGAGCUUGCUCUUACGGGUGGCGAGUGGCGGACGGGUGAGGAAUAUAUCGGAAUCUACUUUUUCGUGGGGGAUAACGUAGGGAAACUUACGCUAAUACCGCAUACGACCUACGGGUGAAAGCAGGGGAUCUUCGGACCUUGCGCGAUUGAAUGAGCCGAUGUCGGAUUAGCUAGUUGGCGGGGUAAAGGCCCACCAAGGCGACGAUCCGUAGCUGGUCUGAGAGGAGGAUCAGCCACACUGGAACUGAGACACGGUCCAGACUCCUACGGGAGGCAGCAGUGGGGAAUAUUGGACAAUGGGCGCAAGCCUGAUCCAGCCAUACCGCGUGGGUGAAGAAGGCCUUCGGGUUGUAAAGCCCUUUUGUUGGGAAAGAAAAGCAGCAGGUUAAUACCCCGCUGUUCUGACGGUACCCAAAGAAUAAGCACCGGCUAACUUCGUG